UGAGGGAUAUUGGUCAAUGGGCGCAAGCCUGAACCAGCGACGCCGCGUGGGUGAAGAAGGUCUUCGGAUCGUAAAGCCCUUUUCCCACUGGAGAGGAAGGACGGUAGGUGGGGAAGAAGUCUCGGCUAACUACGUGCCAGCAGCCGCGGUAAAACGUAGGAGACAAGCGUUAUCCGGAGUUACUGGGCGUAAAGGGCGUGCAGGUGGCGUCUUAAGUCUGUUGUGAAAGCGCCUGGCUUAACCGGGCGAGGCCAAUGGAGACUGAGAGGCUGGAGGACGGCGGAGGGGUGUGGAAUUCCGGGUGUAGUGGUGAAAUGCGUAGAGAUCCGGAGGAACACCAGAGGCGAAGGCGGCACUCUAAGCCGUACCUGACACUGAGACGCGACAGCACGGGGAGCAAACG
rnacentral:rRNA from 1 species